CUCCGAGUAACGAGAAAAAUGCUCUUAAAAUAACGGGGAAAAAGUGUAGCUCAGUCAAGAAGAAGGAAAAACAAGAGAUUAUAACAAAACCUAUGAAGAGUUUUCAGUAAUGCAGAGACUGAAAACAUCAACACUAUGCCUCUGUGGUCUGCUGUACUUUGUGUUAUUCGCCUCCCAAUACUUCACCACCGUCACUGUCAGCGUCACCCAAAACGCGUCUGCUGCCACUGUUCCUGCUGCCACUGUUCCUGUCACCUCUUCACUACUGACGGAGGAGGAAUACGUGGUGCAAGUUUCAGAGGAAGCCAGUCACCAGUAUAGGGCGUUUCUGAGAGAACCUCGAAGGGUUGUGUAUAACUUUGGGACGGCAAAUGAGUUCCUCCCCCUCCCCCCAACCAGACCCCUCCUCAAAUACUCCUCCUCCUUGUCCCUCCAUAUCCAGAACUCACGCAGGAAAAAGGAGAAAAGAGAGGACGAGAAAGAGGAGGAGGGUGU